rnacentral:rRNA from 1 species
UACGGAGGGUGCAAGCGUUGUUCGGAAUUACUGGGCGUAAAGAGCUCGUAGGCGGCUCAUUGCGUCAACCGUGAAAACUUGUGGCUCAACUACAAGCUUGCGGUUGAUACGGGUGGGCUGGAGUUCGGUAGGGGAGACUGGAAUUCCUGGUGUAGCGGUGAAAUGCGCAGAUAUCAGGAGGAACACCGGUGGCGAAGGCGGGUCUCUGGGCCGAUACUGACGCUGAGGAGCGAAAGCGUGGGGAGCGAACAGG